AUUGCACAGGCAGCACAAUAGUUAUGGCAGUGAGAACAACAAUAAAAGAUGCUCAAAAGGACUAUAUACAACAGUACUGUAUUUGCAGCCUUACGCAGAAACAACAAAGUUACGGUGCUGUAGAGUGAGUUGAUGUUAAUGAUACUGCAAGUUCCUGUUUUAGUCAUAAUGUUCAGGAAGUGAAAGAAAGGGAAAAUAAAGUGCUGAUAUUUUGUUACCAUAUAUCAUCAUUCCUUGUGAAGUUACUGUGCUGGUUUUUGCUGUGUCUGAUUGACUGGUAAUGUUUUGUUGAAAUGAUUUAUAAAGAAAAUCAUGGCAUUCAUGAAAUUCUUUAUGAUAAAACAAAUCUUGAAUUUUGGUAUAUAGAGUCCAGAAGCCACACUAGCAGUACAACUCUCCAAACACAAUGACUAACAGGUGACAAAGUGAUGACAGUGCUUGCUACCCUCAAUGUCCCAUGAAGUUACUUGGCUCUUGAGGAUUUUACAUUUAUCAUUUUUUUUAUAUCAAAAAAGAAACAAAACAGAAAAGCUUGAAAACAUUUCUGGUGUUCAGGUUGCUAAUUCCUAGUGUACCAGAUAUGACAGAGGUGCUGAGUGUGAUCUUGAGUACUUGCUUGUUUUAGUCUGCUGCAUAACAGACAGGAAAGCCAAAUCAUGCUUAAAUUCUCACAGAUGCAUUUAACUUGAGCAUGCCAGAGCCUAAGGGUAAAGACAGAGUCACACUUUGUAAGCCUCAUCUUGCCUUUGCAUCUGCUGCAAAGCUGGUUCCACCACAGCACCCAACUUCUACACCCAAGGGGGACCACCAUUUGGUAGCUGCCCCCUGGAGAGGGCAGCUUGAGAGACAUCCUCCUGCUGUGUCCAUGGUUUUUCCCCCAGGAAACAAAUGGUCUUGAAAACUUGUGCAACAGGACCUCUGGGUGGGUGUGUAGCAAGCAGGAGGGCUCACAUCAGGAGGUAUUUCCACCAUGUUCAUUAGAGGCUGGUUGGUCUGUCUGAGCUGCAGCCAAGUUCUUCCUCCAUUGUGGCCCCUGGCAGGCUACUGCAACCUGCCACAUGAGAAAAAUGAUGGAGUGCCAUGAAUCCAGUACAGAAAGGUGGUUUAGCAAUGUUUUCUCAUUUGAUUUUGAACUUUCUUCUCCCUGAGAAAACUCUUCUUGUCAAGAUUAUACGCAGGGCCGUGUCCCUUGAGGAGGAGGGUCCAUUUGUAGCCAAUAUCUGGUCUUAGAUGAUAGCUAAGAUCAGUUGGUUUGUCUUGUUGAAGCAUGUAGCUCUCUGUUCAGUAGUUCAUAGUCCAGAGGAACAACCUGGCACUAGCAAAAGCAGCUGUGUUCCAAUGACUGCUGCUUAAACCCCCUUGUCCUCUCCCCUCCCCCACCCCAUUCCAAGGCCAGGCUCCAAGCCCCGCAACACGAGUUUUUACAGCCAGCUUAUUUCUCACCCAUUUUAAUGGAACAAAACAAUUUUUGAACUUUAGAUCAUAUUUACAGACUUGAAACAUAAGAUGGCAUUUUUAAGCCUAGUAAUUUCUUAGAUUUUCCUAUUUUUCUCAUUCUAGCCAUUGUCAGGUGAUUGCAGACUGAGAUAACCAUCCCUUUGAAGUUCAGGCACAGAAGCAGUCUUUAUUGUUGCCGAUAUGGCUCACCAAUCUAGCUAUAAUGUGAAUUUUAUCCAGUGCUUUCUGUGAAUCCCAUCCUAGGUUAAAUCUCAUGAGCAAAUUAUAGUGUUAGGGAUACAACGUUCAUCGUACUGUUUACAAAAACAAGAAAUUUAUUUUAUUGGGUACAAGUAAAGCCUGGCGGGGGUGCACGUGUCCACUGUUUUGCCACGAGAAAGUCAAGGGGAAGACAAAACUAAAACCCCACCACCUCUGAAACUCUGGCUUCGGUCUCUGGGCUGAUGUCUCUGCUGUGGUCAGGGAUCUCACCUGGCCAUCAGACUUCAGAUGUGUGCAUGAGCUCUGGCUGCAUAUUUGAAACUCCCCAUUUCCACAGCCCGUGGUGCUGGAUUAUUCAAGAUGGCCAUGGUCAUAUGUGCACCUGUGUCCUUUGCCAGUGGGUGUUGCUUGUGCUGCUUACAUUGUCUUCCUUUUCAUUCUUGUGGGGUCACAGGCAACAUGCAUGUCUUCUAGCUUGAUCUGCUUCUGGUUUUCACUGUUCACCAGACAUCUCAACCUGUUGUGCCAUGGCAUUUUCUAAUGAUUUUAAUAUCAUCUACAGGAUCUCUCCUUAAUUUGCUCCAUCUGCUUAUUGCCUCCAUGAACUUCCUUCUCCUCCCUUCACUUCUCUUUUUUUCUUGUCAGCUCCUGCUGUGCUAUUUGUCACAUUCUGAUUUAAUAUAGAGUGUGGAAUAAGAAGAUGGAAGUCAGUGUGUAGUAAGCAGAAUUGUUUCUAAGUAUGACCUUCAGUUUUCCUUGAAAACACUGGCUGGCUUUUGAAGGACAAAAGUCCUUCUUUAAAUUGAAGACUCAAGCAAUAUCCUGAUGUGAGUAAGGCUAAGCAAAGAGGAAUUUCAGUGUUUCUGGAGUUCAGAAACCCUGACCAGGUUUUAGGACUUGCCUGCCAGACAGCCCACUGUGCAAGUUCAGCGUAUGCAUUUUUUUGGGGGGUCCAGGAGAGGAGGAGGAGCUCCUCUUUUGGUGAUAUGCACACAUUUAGAUCUCUUGGAGCAGUCUGCAGGAAGGGUGCUCUGGAAUUUGAAGCCAAACCAUGCUGGUUUGGACAAAAGUUGUUACAGAAU